rnacentral:tRNA from 1 species
GGAGGAGUGGCCGAGUGGUUGAAGGCGGCGGUCUUGAAAACCGUUGAGCGCAAGCUCCGGGGGUUCGAAUCCCUCCUCCUCCGCCA